UAGAUUAGCAUGGCCCUUGCACAAGGAUGACACACAGAUUCAUGAAGCGUUCCAUAUUUAA
rnacentral:snRNA from 1 species